rnacentral:tRNA from 1 species
GGCGAAGUGCCAGAGUGGUUAAUGGGAUUGACUCGAAAUCAAUUGGCUUCGGCCGCGCAAGUUCGAAUCUUGUCUUCGUCG